rnacentral:rRNA from 1 species
AUUGAACGCUGGCGGCAGGCCUAACACAUGCAAGUCGAGCGGAGCGGCGGACGGGUGAGUAAUGCCUAGGAAUCUGCCUGGUAGUGGGGGAUAACGUCCGGAAACGGGCGCUAAUACCGCAUACUCUCAGAUGAGCCUAGGGCGGAUUUGCUAGUUGGUGGGGUAAAGGCCUACGAAGGCGACGAUGCGUGACUGGUCUGAGAGGAUGAUCAGUCACACUGCAACUGAGAAACGGUCCAGACGCCUACGGGAGGCAGGAGGGGGGAAUAUUGGACUAUGGGCGAAAGGCUGAUCCAGCCAUGCCGCGUGUGUGAAGAGGGUCUUCGGAUUGUAAAGCUCUUUAAGUUGGGAGGCGGUACCAACAGAAGAAGCACCGGCUAACUUCGUGCCAGCCGCCGCGGUAAUUC